GUGACAGCCCUGGAAACUGAAGUCCUUUGUUUAUCUAGGGAAAGGCACAGCAGAACCAGUAUAAGUACUAGUCCCCAGUGCUGCCCCAUCACUAUGCUUCAGUCUUUGCAUGAAAGCAACCAUCGUGAUUGGUCAGAGAUUAGUUCACUCUCCAUUGCCAUUCAGUCAUUGGCUUCU
rnacentral:sRNA from 1 species